GGAGCUUGUCUGCCCGCCUGGGGCUUGGGGAUGGAGCCCACCUUAGUACCCGCCCCGCCCUGCUCUCCUGGCACCGGGCGCAGGAGGGGCAGGCCCUGGUUUGGAGGGAGGAAGCCUUGGACCACCUUCGGCUCAGAUCGUCCUCGCCUCUCUUUGCUGGUCUGAAACCUGGCUCUUCCCUGAGGACACUUCCUUUAAAGAGGGGAAAUUUGGAGACAGACUGGCACACAGGGAGAACACCACAGGAACAUGAAGACAGUCAUCUACAAGCCAAGGAAAGAGGCCCGGAACAGAUUCUCUCACAGCCCUCAGAAGGGACCAGCCCUGCUAGCACCUGGAUCUCGG